AGGGAUGUAGUUCAGUGAUAGAACAUCUGCUUUGAACACAGAAGAUCCCAUGUUCAAUCUCUGACAUCUCCA